GUGGGGAAUAUUGGACAAUGGGGGGAACCCUGAUCCAGCCAUGCCGCGUGUGUGAAGAAGGCCUUUUGGUUGUAAAGCACUUUAAGCGAGGAGGAGGCUACCGAGAUUAAUACUCUUGGAUAGUGGACGUUACUCGCAGAAUAAGCACCGGCUAACUCUGUGCCAGCAGCCGCGGUAAUACAGAGGGUGCAAGCGUUAAUCGGAUUUACUGGGCGUAAAGCGCGCGUAGGUGGCUAAUUAAGUCAAAUGUGAAAUCCCCGAGCUUAACUUGGGAAUUGCAUUCGAUACUGGUUGGCUAGAGUAUGGGAGAGGAUGGUAGAAUUCCAGGUGUAGCGGUGAAAUGCGUAGAGAUCUGGAGGAAUACCGAUGGCGAAGGCAGCCAUCUGGCCUAAUACUGACACUGAGGUGCGAAAGCAUGGGGAGCAAACAGGAUUAGAAACCCUAGUAGUCC
rnacentral:rRNA from 1 species